UGCCUUUUAAAAUAACUUUUACAAAAAAAAAUUGUAGAUGCUAAUGGAUUUCCAUAAAUGUUAAGUCCAACUUAGGAUCUUUGUGAAACACCCCCCUGUUUAUUCUGCUCAUUGUUCUCAUCACCAUCAGUCACCUGAACACUCUGAUGACUUUUCAGAAAGCAUAUGAGUCGGACAUUGUCAGUUUCAUGGGCUGUCUGCCUCAUAUGCUGUUGGUCCAGUGGGCUGUAGCCCUAGAAGGAUGACUUGAACCCUUAUGGACGGGUGAUUCUACAUUUGCUCUGGCGACAAUUGCUUCAGGCUUUAUUUCAUCAAUAUAUAGGGGUAUGGUUAGGGUUGCAAUUGGAUUUUUAGGGGUAGGGUUAGGAUGGAAGUUAGGAACUGUAUUAGUGUAGGAUAUAGAUGGCAGAGCAAUUGUCGCCAGAGCACGAGUCGUUCAACCUUUGAAGGAUGUCUUGGAUGGUCGCAUCUCUUGUGUUGUGCGAUAUGAAAUUGAACACGAACAACAUAUCUGAACUUCUGUAAGAGGCUGACAGUCCUUCUGGCAGAAUAAGCCAUCUCUUCACUCUUUCACAGUGGCAAAGUUGUGGCAAAGAUUCAGCACAUACAUGCAUCAUCUUUUGAUUUUUAUUAAACCAUAAGUUAUUUCACAAAAUACACAGAAAGAUCAAAACCAGUGCAAGUAUUAUGCGCCCUUGGCUGUACAAAUGAUUCUUUGUUGAAUAUGCAGAUGUACAUGUAUAAUACAAUUAUGUAAGAGAAUGAAAUAGCAACAUUUGCAAUGUGCAAAUCUUCCUGAAGGUUACAGGUACUCAAACCAUGAUCUACACGUUUUAAUGUUACAUUGGCUUUAGCUGUGCUUCCAUAUAAGGAUCUUGAAAGAUAAAGUAGAGUUGUUAAUUGCACAAUUGCAUUGUGAAAGAAACUCUGUUAAAUCGGAAAUGGUUGAUUUUGUAGCUUAAGAAUUGAUGCAUACUUUGCGGUAUCGGAAUCAAAAUGAUGAAAACUGGUUCACUCUUGCUGCAAGUCACAUGAUUUGUACACAGAAAGAGGUACAUGGGACUACACCUACAUGUGGUAUUAAAGUUUGGUCCUAACACUUUAGACAUUACUCGUCAUAUUUCAAAUAUGAGGACAUUUGAAGAGCCAUCCUUUUUGAGGGGACAUCUUUUCUAUAAUAUCCUUCCAUAGUAUUAUAAAAAGAAUUUUGAAAAAUCUCACAAAUUAUUUUUUCCAUACUCAACUUCCUCUUUAAAGCAGAGGACAGGAGCUGCACUUGUCAUUACACAGUACACAUCUACAGAUCUUACAAUUAUAAUUCGUCUUUUUAUUUACCCAUUUUGCUAUAUAUCAUGUUGAGUGUAUUGGCCAUCUGUUUGCAUGGACUUGUUUUCAAUAAGUUGUGAUGAAUUAGUCAUAUUAUUUUGGUCUUGUACCUUUCAAACAAAGGAGGAUUCAUAGGAAUAUACUGUUUGUUUGACAGGAAAUAAUGAUAUAUUUGUUUUGGUAGAUUGUUAAUCUCUCAGGCUGGCUGAAAAUUGGUUUUAACAAUGGCAUAAGGACUUGCAAACAGGUGUAAUAUGGAUGCCGGUUUGCUUUUCCAAAAGAUGGAGAAAAAAGAAAGAAAAAGAUACAUAUAUUUAUGGGAUAAUUGCAAAAGCAUCAAAGUGUUGUUUGA